GAUGAACGCUGGCGGCGUGCCUAAUACAUGCAAGUCGAGCGAACAGACGAGGAGCUUGCUCCUCUGACGUUAGCGGCGGACGGGUGAGUAACACGUGGAUAACCUACCUAUAAGACUGGGAUAACUUCGGGAAACCGGAGCUAAUACCGGAUAAUAUGUUGAACCGCAUGGUUCAAUAGUGAAAGACGGUUUUGCUGUCACUUAUAGAUGGAUCCGCGCCGCAUUAGCUAGUUGGUAAGGUAACGGCUUACCAAGGCAACGACGCGUAGCCGACCUGAGAGGGUGAUCGGCCACACUGGAACUGAGACACGGUCCAGACUCCUACGGGAGGCAGCAGUAGGGAAUCUUCCGCAAUGGGCGAAAGCCUGACGGAGCAACGCCGCGUGAGUGAUGAAGGUCUUCGGAUCGUAAAACUCUGUUAUUAGGGAAGAACAAAUGUGUAAGUAACUAUGCACGUCUUGACGGUACCUAAUCAGAAAGCCACGGCUAACUACGUG
rnacentral:rRNA from 1 species